CUCUCAAAAAAUAAAUUAAAAAAAAAAAAAAAAAGAGCUCACUAUAUGUAUAUCACCAUCACCAUGUGAUUUAAUCUCUGCAACACCCCUGCGAGGUCGGGAUUACGCUGCUAUUUGCAGACGAGGAAACUGAGGCAGACGUGAAGCCACAUGCCUCCGUUCAGGCAGUAUUAAGUGGCUGAGUACGGAUAGAAGGCUAAGUCUGCUGGGGGCUCGGGUUGCCAGUGCCCUCUGGUCCGGAGGCCAGCUUUGGGUGAACCCCACCCCCACCCCCAAAGGAGCGCAGGGUGGGACGCGGGGCUGCUCCAGACAAAGACGCCGAGGUGGGUCCGGGGCGGGGCCUCCCAGCUGGCCAGUCCCUCCAGUCCUCCCGCGGGGCGCUCAGCUCGGGACCUCCCGCUCGGGCUCCAGGAAGGCAUGGGCGCCACCUGGUGGCCGCAGGAGGUCAACGCCACCACCGUCUCAUCGGCGCUCAGCGGCGUCCCGCACGCGCUCCCGGCGAAGGCGCCGAUGAGCCCGCGCGCAGGCAAUUCCUUUUCCUCCCUGCCCAGGGUCCUCCGGGGGUGGGGACGUGCGCCUCCACCCCGGGGUUGCCAUGCUGCUGCUGAUUUGGGGGCACGUAUUGCAGCAGCGAAGCUCAUUUUGCUGAGAACAUAUUGUGUCACCAAGCCUCGCGGUCUGGGCCACCACCAAGGGACGAGGCUCCAAGUUUCACUCAUCCAUUCAACACACGUUGUCAAAUGUCACCAGACACGGUCCUGUGCCCCGAGGAUACUGCGGUGACAACGACUCUGCCUGCGGGACAUUCAGGUGGGGGGCGGGGCAGAUUCGGAAAUAAACAAGAAACAAACAAACGCA